rnacentral:rRNA from 1 species
UACGUAGGGGGCGAGCGUUGUCCGGAUUUAUUGGGCGUAAAGAGCGUGUAGGCGGCCAGGUAGGUCAGCUGUGAAAACUCGAGGCUCAACCUCGAGAUGUCGGCUGAAACCAUCUGGCUAGAGUCCGGAAGAGGAGAAUGGGAAUUCCCGGUGUAGCGGUGAAAUGCGCAGAUAUCGGGAAGAACACCCGUGGCGAAGGCGGGUUCUCUGGGACGGUACUGACGCUGGAGACGCGAAAGCGUGGGGAGCGAACAGG